rnacentral:rRNA from 1 species
UGGGGAAUAUUGCACAAUGGGCGCAAGCCUGAUGCAGCCAUGCCGCGUGUAUGAAGAAGGCCUUCGGGUUGUAAAGUACUUUCAGCGGGGAGGAAGGGAGUAAAGUUAAUACCUUUGCUCAUUGACGUUACCCGCAGAAGAAGCACCGGCUAACUCCGUGCCAGCAGCCGCGGUAAUACGGAGGGUGCAAGCGUUAAUCGGAAUUACUGGGCGUAAAGCGCACGCAGGCGGUUUGUUAAGUCAGAUGUGAAAUCCCCGGGCUCAACCGGGGAACUGCAUCUGAUACUGGCAAGCUUGAGUCUCGUAGAGGGGGGUAGAAUUCCAGGUGUAGCGGUGAAAUGCGUAGAGAUCUGGAGGAAUACCGGUGGCGAAGGCGGCCCCCUGGACGAAGACUGACGCUCAGGUGCGAAAGCGUGGGGAGCAAACAGG